rnacentral:rRNA from 1 species
AUUGAACGCUGGCGGCAGGCUUAACACAUGCAAGUCGCGCGAGCGGCGGACGGGUGAGUAACGUAUGGGCAACUGUCUGAUGGAGGGGGAUAAAUACUGGCAACGGUAUAUAAGAACGCAUUCCAUCAGCUGAACCUAUACGGGAUUAGCUUGUAGGUGGGGUAACGGCUCACCUAGGCGACGAUCCCUAGCUGGUCGGAAAGGAUGAUCAGCCACACUGGGACGGAGACACGGCCCAGACUCCUACGGGAGGCAGCAGUGGGGAAUAUUGCACAAUGGGCGCAAGCCUGAUGCAGCCAGGCCGCGUGGAUGAAGAAGGCCUUCGGGUUGUAAAGUACUUUCAGUCGGGAGGCGUUACCGACAGAAGAAGCACCGGCUAACUCCGUGCCAGCAGCCGCGGUAAUAC